GCAAGGCGCGGUGGCACGUUGCCUGUAGUCUCAGCUACUCGCUUGAGCCCAGCAGUUCUGGGCUGUAGUGUGCUAUGACCAUCCAGUGUCCCCACUAAGUUCGACAUCAAUAUGGUGACUUCCCGGGAGCGAGGGUCCACCGGGUUGACUAAGGAGGGGUAAACCAGCACAGGUCGGAAACAGAGCAGGUCAAAACUCCCGUGCUCAUCGGGUAGUGGGACUGCGCCUGUGAAUAGCCACUGCACUCCAGCCUGGGCAACAUAGGAAGAC
rnacentral:SRP_RNA from 1 species